GAUGGGCACAAGGGAGGCAACUGCGUACGGCUCAUUUAUUACUGAACAAUUCCUGCGCGAAAUCUCGUUCAUAAAAAUAGUGCCGAUAGGGGGUCGGAAUUACGUCGUUUUUAAGGUGGUUUUUUAUUGGAUAUGGUUAAAAUAACCACUAAUCAUAUAAGUUAAUACAUUUAUGUUCGCGGGCAAAGCACUUUCGUUUCCACACAGUUGCGUUGAAGAUUAAAAGAAAGCCUAAGAAAAUUUCCGAGAUCGAGAAAAAUAGACAUAUGUUUGAUACUAAUAAGUCAGAGUCUCAGGAUUGGGAAGAGUUUGACUCGGAGUCUAACAGUGAGCAUUCGGAGUCUGACAGUGAGCGGUCGGAGUCUAGCAGUGAGCGUUCGGAGUCUCACAGUGAGCGUGUAUCACCGCAGCCAGGUCAAUUUACACAGGACCGGGCUGCAAAAGCUGAAAAGUUGAAGCUUCCACAUCAGAGUACCGCAAGAAGCUGCCGUUUGUGAAUGCGCCCCGAUAGAGGAGAUUUAGGCAAAGAAGCUGAAGGCAGCGGGGGGAAAAGAGAAGAAAUCAGGAAGAAAUCGCCAUAGGCGAUAACUGAAUAUAAGAUUUUUUAAACCAUUGGAUAGGUUUGUUAGUCACCUAUCUUAGGAAAAAUACUUACAGAUACAUUGAAGUUCAAAUAACUAGUGUUAGGUCUUAUUUAAAUAAGAAGAAUUUUGGUUUUUGAAUCUAUUUAAUGAAGCAAAUGAUUUUACUUUUGUUAAACAUGUGUGGCAGUGAACUAUUGUCUUCAUGUUAACCUUAUUUAAGUAUUGGCUGUUGUUCUUGUGGUGUAUUUAUAAUUUGAGGACUUAUUUUACCUAAUGGACAAUUUAUUUUAAUUGAGUUAACAACAUAUAAAACUUGUCAAAACUAUUGAAAGCCCCCAUAAGAAUUUCAUUGUUUUGUAGUGACCACUAUGUCUGCUCGUGACACUGUCAGUCUGACAUGUGAGAGUGCAGUUGAAGUGAAAUGAUUCAUCAAUCAUUACUUAUGAAAAAUUUCAAUCUUUGGGAUUAGUUUUUGCCUAUAUGCUACCUUUGACUGACAAAAAAACCAACAUCAACAAUGUUUGUUUUUUUAUUUGAACAACUCGUCAUCGUGAUUGGGAGGCAUGUGUCAUUUUAAUUCAUCAUUAUGUAAUGUCGGGUAAUUGGACAUUUCACAAGUAUUUAUAUAUUGUGUAUGCACAACUAAUAUUAAUUGUGUCAACAAAAAUUAUGUGUUAG